rnacentral:snoRNA from 1 species
CUGCAGCCAAUUAAGCCGACUGAGUUCCUUUCCUUAUGGGGGCCCAGUGUGCAAUGGCUGCAAACAGCAGCUUCCCUGGUAGUGAUGCAGCCUGUUUGUUGUGUGGGUUGCUCUAAGGGACCUUGGAGGCAGUC